rnacentral:ribozyme from 13 species
CAAGAUCUUCACUUUUUUGUCAACCCACUCUUUAGCAUCAAAAUUCUUUUUCUUUCUCAAGAUUGUGAGCUGUUUUUGGAGAUCAGGGUGAAGAGUGAAAGGGCUGGCCAUGUUUGAAGAGAAAAGACAACGAA